rnacentral:rRNA from 1 species
AUACGGAGGAUGCGAGCGUUAUCCGGAUUUAUUGGGUUUAAAGGGGGCGUAGGUGGGAUAUUAAGUCAGCUGUGAAAGUUUGGGGCUCAACCUUAAAAUUGCAGUUGAUACUGGUUUCCUUGAGUACGGUACAGGUGGGCGGAAUUCGUGGUGUAGCGGUGAAAUGCUUAGAUAUCACGAAGAACUCCGAUCGCGAAGGCAGCUCACCGGGCCGGAACUGACACUGAUGCUCGAAAGUGCGGGUAUCAAACAGGAUUAGAUACCCUGGUAGUCCGCGCAGUAAACGAUGAAUACUCGCUGUUUGCGAUACACGGUAAGCGGCCAAGCGAAAGCGUUAAGUAUUCCACCUGGGGAGUACGCCGGCAACGGUGAAACUCAAAUGAAUUGACGGGG